AUUGAACGCUGGCGGCAGGCUUAACACAUGCAAGUCGAGCGAGCGGCGGACGGGUGAGUAAUGUCUGGGAAACUGCCUGAUGGAGGGGGAUAACUACUGGAAACGGUAGCUAAUACCGCAUACCAUCAGAUGUGCCCAGAUUGGAUUAGCUAGUAGGUGGGGUAAUGGCUCACCUAGGCGACGAUCCCUAGCUGGUCUGAGAGGAUGACCAGCCACACUGGACAUGAGACACGGUCCGGACUCCUACGGGAUGCAGCAGUGGGGAAGAUUGCACAAUGGGCGCAAGCCUGAUGCAGCCAUGCCGCGUGUGUGAAGAAGGCCUUCGGGUGGUAAAGCACUUUCAGCGAGGAGGCGUGACUCGCAGAAGAAGCACCGGCUAACUCCGUGACAGCAGCCGCGGUAAUUC
rnacentral:rRNA from 1 species